AUACGGAGGGGGUUAGCGUUGUUCGGAAUUACUGGGCGUAAAGCGUACGUAGGCGGACUGGAAAGUUGGGGGUGAAAUCCCGGGGCUCAACCCCGGAACUGCCUCCAAAACUUCCAAUCUAGAGAUCGAGAGAGGUGAGUGGAAUUCCAAGUGUAGAGGUGAAAUACGUAGAUAUUUGGAGGAACACCAGUGGCGAAGGCGGCUCACUGGCUCGAUACUGACGCUGAGGUACGAAAGCGUGGGGAGCAAACAGGAUUAGAAACCCUAGUAGUCC
rnacentral:rRNA from 1 species